rnacentral:rRNA from 1 species
UAUGUUCUGUGCUUCGUCGCAAGACUUGAGGCUGAACGAAGGUGAGUCUGCGUCUAUUUUGGAUGCGGAUUUGCUGAUGUUAUUUUAAACACCUAUUACUUAAUACUGAACUAUACUCCGAAUACGAAAGUUUUUGGUUUUAACAAUUAACAACUUUCAGCAGUGGAUGUCUAGGCUCGCACAUCGAUGAAGAACGCUGCGAACUGCGAUACGUAAUGCGAAUUGCAGAAUUCAGUGAGUCAUCGAAAUUUUGAACGCAUAUUGCACUUUCGGGUUAUGCCUGGAAGUAUGCCUGUAUCAGUGUCCGUACAUCAAACUUGCCUUUCUUUUUUUGUGUAGUCAAAAUUAGAGAUGGCAGAAUGUGAGGUGUCUCGCGCUGUCUUUUUAAAGAUGGUUCGAGUCCCUUUAAAUGUACGUUGAUUCUUUCUUGUGUCUGCGAAUUGCGAUGCUAUGCUCUUUGUGAUCGGUUUAGAUUGCUUUGCGCUGGUGGGCGACUUCGGUUAGGACAUAUGGAAGCAACCUCAAUUGGCGGUAUGUUCGGCUUUGCCUGACGUUAAGCUAAGCGAGUGUAGUUUUCUGUCUUUUCCUUGAGGUGUACCUGUCGUGUGUGAGGUUGAUUUAGGCUAUAUGGUUGCUUGGUUGUGUGGUUUAGCGUUUUCAGACGCCUGCUUCGGUAGGUAAAGGAGACAACACCAAUUUGGGACUGAGAGUUUACUCUCUUUUUCACUUUGGACCUGAUAUCAGGUAAGACUACCCGCUGAACUUAAGCAUAUUAAUAAGCGGAGGAAAAGAAACUAACAAGGAUUCCCCUAGUAACGGCGAGUGAAGCGGGAUGAGCUCAAGCUUAAAAUCUCUGUGCCAGUUUGGCAUGGCGAAUUGUAGUCUAUGGAGGCGCUGUCAGUGCGAUUGCGUGGGUUAAGUUCCUUGGAAGAGGACAGCAUCGAGGGUGAUACUCCCGUGUAUGCCUGUGCAAUUGUGCGUACGACACGUUUUCUUUGAGUCGCGUUGUUUGGGAAUGCAGCGCAAAGUAGGUGGUAAAUUCCAUCUAAAGCUAAAUAUUGGUGCGAGACCGAUAGCGAACAAGUACCGUGAGGGAAAGAUGAAAAGAACUUUGAAAAGAGAGUUAAAGAGUACCUGAAACUGCUGAAAGGGAAUCGAAUCGUUUCCAGUGUCUAUAAUCUGUGGCAUAUUUCAUUGGCGAGUGUGUGCGUGCAUUGUUUUGGAAGCAGUUUUCUGUUCCUGGCUGUGUUGUGCAUAUGCUUGCUGGUGCCCUGUGUCGCGGUGGGACGUCAGAGUCAAUUCGUAAGUUGCGGGAAAUGGCUAUUGGGGAGGUAGGUCACUUCGGUGGCUGUUAUAUCCUGAUAGCUAGUAGUCGUGGCUGGGAUUGAGGUGCCUACAACGUGCUUUCGAGUGUCUGGGUGUCUCGUUUGGUAAGUUAUCUUGACAGCUUGCUGUGUUGGUGAUAUUAUCGAGCGAUUGAUGUCUGGUCUAACUUG